UGCAUUUUAACCACAGUGGACCCAGACACCGGUGUCAUGAGCAGGAAGGAACCGCUGGAAACACUGAAGAGUUAUCGCCAGUGUGACCCUUCAGAACGAAAGUUAUAUGGAAAAUCACCACUCUUUGGGCAGUAUUUUGUGCUGGAAAACCCAGGGACCAUCAAAGUGGGAGACCCUGUGUACCUGCUGGGCCAGUAAUGGGAACCGUAUGUCCUGGAAUAUUAGAUGCCUUUUAAAAAUGUUCUCAAAAAUGACAACACUUGAAGCAUGGUGUUUCAGAACUGAGACCUCUACAUUUUCUUUAAAUUUGUGAUUUUCACAUUUUUCGUCUUUUGGACUUCUGGUGUCUCAAUGCUUCAAUGUCCCAGUGCAAAAAGUAAAGAAAUAUAGUCUCAAUAACUUAGUAGGACUUCAGUAAGUCACUUAAAUGACAAGACAGGAUUCUGAAAACUCCCCGUUUAACUGAUUAUGGAAUAGUUCUUUCUCCUGCUUCUCCGUUUAUCUACCAAGAGCGCAGACUUGCAUCCUGUCACUACCACUCGUUAGAGAAAGAGAAGAAGAGAAAGAGGAAGAGUGGGUGGGCUGGAAGAAUAUCCUAGAAUGUGUUAUUGCCCCUGUUCAUGAGGUACGCAAUGAAAAUUAAAUUGCACCCCAAAUAUGGCUGGAAUGCCACUUCCCUUUUCUUCUCAAGCCCCGGGCUAGCUUUUGAAAUGGCAUAAAGACUGAGGUGACCUUCAGGAAGCACUGCAGAUAUUAAUUUUCCAUAGAUCUGGAUCUGGCCCUGCUGCUUCUCAGACAGCAUUGGAUUUCCUAAAGGUGCUCAGGAGGAUGGUUGUGUAGUCAUGGAGGACCCCUGGAUCCUUGCCAUUCCCCUCAGCUAAUGACGGAGUGCUCCUUCUCCAGUUCCGGGUGAAAAAGUUCUGAAUUCUGUGGAGGAGAAGAAAAGUGAUUCAGUGAUUUCAGAUAGACUACUGAAAACCUUUAAAGGGGGAAAAGGAAAGCAUAUGUCAGUUGUUUAAAACCCAAUAUCUAUUUUUUAACUGAUUGUAUAACUCUAAGAUCUGAUGAAGUAUAUUUUUUAUUGCCAUUUUGUCCUUUGAUUAUAUUGGGAAGUUGACUAAACUUGAAAAAUGUUUUUAAAACUGUGAAUAAAUGGAAGCUACUUUGACUAGUUUC
rnacentral:lncRNA from 1 species